GUAACAAGGUCUCCGUUGGUGAACCAGCGGAGGGAUCAUUACUGAGUUUACGCUCUAUAACCCUUUGUGAACAUACCUAUAACUGUUGCUUCGGCGGGUAGGGUCUCCGUGACCCUCCCGGCCUCCCGCCCCCGGGCGGGUCGGCGCCCGCCGGAGGAUAACCAAACUCUGAUUUAACGACGUUUCUUCUGAGUGGUACAAGCAAAUAAUCAAAACUUUUAACAACGGAUCUCUUGGUUCUGGCAUCGAUGAAGAACGCAGCGAAAUGCGAUAAGUAAUGUGAAUUGCAGAAUUCAGUGAAUCAUCGAAUCUUUGAACGCACAUUGCGCCCGCCAGCAUUCUGGCGGGCAUGCCUGUUCGAGCGUCAUUUCAACCCUCAAGCUCUGCUUGGUGUUGGGGCCCUACAGCUGAUGUAGGCCCUCAAAGGUAGUGGCGGACCCUCCCGGAGCCUCCUUUGCGUAGUAACUUUACGUCUCGCACUGGGAUCCGGAGGGACUCUUGCCGUAAAACCCCCAAUUCUCCAAAGGUUGACCUCGGAUCAGGUAGGAAUACCCGCUGAACUUAAGCAUAUCAAUAA
rnacentral:rRNA from 2 species